UCCUUUUGUGAGGAUUGGGAUAUUCCGACUCCUUAAGGGCCUGGCGCACAUAAGGUGUGACCUUUUCAUUCCCGUUGUUAUGGAGGUAGGCUCUCUAGGAAUCUGGGAGUAGUAGCUGGGGGGCAAGAGCAAAUAAAGAGCUCGAGCUUCUGUGGUCUCUGGGGAGAUGUUCCCGGGAAGCCUGUCUAGAGGGCGGAGGGCAGCUGUUGAGAUGGCGUGGCUCCCCGGCUCCUGCGCCCGCGUGGCUUUCGCGGCGGGCGCUGCGGCCCGGUAUUGGACAGCCUGGCAGGGCAGCGCGGGGCCGAAUCCGGCUGCCGUGGCUGAGGCUCAUGGAUCACUCUUUUGUGGUAGGGCCACAUCUGCCAGAGCCUGGAGUCUGCGAAGGCCGGGACCCGGUUCCCCGGCCCACAGUGGGGGUGUGCAAACCCGAGAGAACUGGGUAAGUUGGGGUCGGCUUGCAGUUUGGGGUACCCCGAGGGCGGUGUACGUCGGUAAGAUUGUAACAGUAUUACUGGAAGACUUAUUCGACUGUCCUGAUGAUACUUGUAAUAGGAAGUGCCGUCAGAAGCGAUAACUGACGACGUCUAAUGUCUAUCUGACCGCAGUCGCUGAAACCUCUACAACUUAGUUGACCGUAACUGCCAGAGCCCUGCCCUGAAUUCCUGUCCUUACUCCCUCUUUAAGAUUGCGUACCCACUGCAGAGUGCUGAAGACGGGGUAGCCACGAGGUGAGAGGCUCUCUGGUGUAGGGUUUAACAUGGAACGUAGUUUUGUCACUUGAAUGCACGGAAAUUGGCGUUUUGACAGUUUUCUACGUUUAGGUGUUUUAUACACUUUAGGGUAACGUUAUCAUGUCAUUGCAUAGGGUGGAACUUAAAUAGAAACUGGAGAUGGCUGCUUCAGCCACAGUCCUAACCUAGAACUGCAUUUAAAGCAAACUGAUAAUGCAGAAACAAACUCCUUCGUUAAGAAAUGUCUCCAGUAGCAGGGUUAGCUUAAGUUUCAGGUAGGGUCUAGAUCUGCGGUUGGAACAGUACUGGAGGGUUGUGAGGUGCUUGACUGCUCUGAUGAAAUCACUAAUAGGAAGUGCCGUCAGAAGCGAUAACUGACGAAGACUACUCCUGUCUGAUUGCAGUCAAGUCUUCACCACUUGCUGGUUCCCAGGAGUAAACUUGUUUGAACGGUGACCUAAUUGCUAUAUUCACCUAGGUUGCAAAUUCGUGAAGAAUCAGCAUCAUGUUUGGCAGCUGAGUAUUGGAGCCAGGAGCCUGCCAUGAGGUUUUGAGAACAGAGUGCUGUUUUAGAGCUGGCAGCAGCAUCUCAGCCCAAGAGAAGGUAAGCCUUGAGCUGGCCAAUGAUCCCUUCAACCCCAUAGUGGAAUGAAUAAACAGCUGAUCUUGUUAAAACUCGCUUCAAAAAAAAAAGAUAUCAAAUGAUGAAAUCACCCAAAAUAGCUGGAAUUACCGGCAGAUUGUGUAGUGGUGAACCUAUGGUUUUCUGAAGAUAUCUCUUACCCUGUGAUUGACUGUCAGUUGGUGCAGAAAGUGAGAUUGAAAUGUAGUUUCUUUGCAGGUUAUAUUCCCAGAGGAUGUCAGUCCCAAGGACCAGUAGCUGCCAUCAGUUUGGAUUCUGAAAACUAACUGGCAUCAACACUGGGUGUAGAAACAUGCUUGCCUUAUGUAUCAGAGGACAUGCUCAGCAGAUCCAAGAGAUAUAUUUGGCAACUUUUUCUAGAAAAGGCACAUUGGGUAUCAUUCAUUACAUUCUUGAGUUUUUUUGGGUUUUUUUUUUUUUUUUUGAGACAGUCUUGCUGUAUUGCCCAGGCUGGAGUGUGGUGGCACAAUCACAGCUCAUUGCAUCCUCAAUCACCCAGGCCUAAGCAAUCCUCCCACCUUGUAGCUGGGACUACAGCUCACAGCACACCUGGCUAAAAUUUUUUUUUUGUUGAGACGGAUUCUCUAUGUUGCCCAGGCUGGUCUCAGGCUCCUGGGCUCAGAUGGUCCUCCUGCCUCAGCUUCCAAAGGCACAGGCCAAGUUGUAGCUUUGUCCCUUGCCAUCAUGCCCAACAAGAGGUUCUAUACCUUUUAAUGAAUUGACUUUCAUAAAUUGGUUAUGUUGGUGGGCAAAGUUCUUUAAGCUGGAAAUUGUAAAUUCCUCCUGAAAUGUUUUUUCAUGCAGUUACCAUGAACUAAUACUACAAUAAAGGAUGGUCUUGGGUGUCAAUUCUUGAAAAUCGAUGCAGCCUCAGUGUUCCUUUGCCUUGGGGGUUUCUGAGUGGUGGGGUUGUAAGCAGAUCCUGCCAGGCACCCAGAAGGAAACCUCAUCAGGACUCCCUCAGAAAGGAGGCCCUGAAGAAUCCUGUGACCUUCAUCUAAAGUAGGUCAUGAGACCCCUGAGCUUAAAACGGAGUGAUCGGCUUUGGAGAAGUAAGGAGACAUGACGUGCCUGCCCUGGGGUGGGGACUAAACUUCGUGCCACUCCACGUGAAAGGGGGAGGUACGCCUGCUCCCUUUCCUCAAGCCCCCCCCUCCCAAUUUCUGCCAUCCUUGGGUAUGAGCUACACGACAGUCCCUGACCCUAGCUUGGUGCCCUGCACAGACCAGGCAAUGCUGACAUUCCCAUCCGGAGACUGUCCUCACACCAUCCUGGGGAACAUGAGACAUCCCUGGGUAGGGAGGCAAAGCAGGCCCACCCACUGCAGGCUGUCCUCAUUCUGGGGGCUCCCACAGCUGCCCCAGCACAGCCCAGAGAAAGGCUCCCAGCCCAGGUGGCUGGGGUCCAGUGCCCUGGGGACGGGACGUCUGGGCAGGGAAUGUGUGGGUAACCAGCUGAGUUUGCUCCUUGUCAUUUUGUUUGUAUUCUGAACUUUUAAAAUACCUUCCCCACAUGAUUCUUAGAAAUCCCUGGAAGGCACGCAGGCUGGACAUCAUCAUAUAUUCUCUACAGAUGGAGACACCAAGGCCCACGCCUUCUGUGCUGUUGGAAUUUCAGGAAGGAUGGGGGUGGGGCACGGCCUCAGCCCUGGGCAUGUUCUGCAGAUUGCACUGCUCUUAUCUGCCAGGGGGUGGUGAGAGGGUGGCUGAGCUGGACAGAUGGCGGGCAGGGACGGGCUCUGCGGUCUGGCAGCUGACAUUGAUACAAGCAAAAAAAGAGUCUUUGCUGGGGG
rnacentral:lncRNA from 1 species